UGAAGUGCAUUUUUACCUUCUUAGGAUCC
rnacentral:piRNA from 1 species